GGCCUGUGAUGCUUAGAUCUUGUCCGUACCAUCUGAUACCUGAUGUAUACAUAAUCUUUACCUUCUGAGGCCU